rnacentral:tRNA from 1 species
GGUGACCGUAGCUCAGUUGGCAGAGCAUUGGAUUGUGGUUCCAAGGGUCGUGGGUUCGAACCCCAUCUGUCACCC